GAAAGGAGUGCUAAUACAGCAUGACACCGCAAGGUCAAAGCGGGCCUCUCUACAGAAGCUCGUGCCUGAGGAUUAGCCUGCGGCCCAUCAGCUAGUUGGUAGUGUAACGGACUACCAAGGCUAAGACGGGUAGCUGGUCUGAGAGGAUGAACAGCCACACUGGAACUGAGACACGGUCCAGACUCCUACGGGAGGCAGCAGUAGGGAAUCUUGCGCAAUGGGCGAAAGCCUGACGCAGCGACGCCGCGUGAGUGAUGAAGGCCCUCGGGUUGUAAAAGCUCUGUGGGGAGAGAAGAAUAAGUGCAAGCUAAUACUUUGCAUGAUGACGGUAUCUCCUUAGCAAGCACCGGCUAACUCUGUGCCAGCAGCCGCGGUAAGACAGAGGGUGCAAACGUUGUUCGGAAUCACUGGGC
rnacentral:rRNA from 1 species